AUGGAGUCGAACAGGGACGAGGCGGAGCGGUGCAUCGGCAUCGCGCUGGCCGCCGCCAAGGCCAACCAGCCCGACAAGGCCCGCCGCUUCCUGGAGAAGGCGCAGCGCUUGUACCCCUCGCCGCGGGUCCGCGUUCUCCUUGAAUCACUCAACAAGAAUGAGCAAUCGGCCAAUGGCCAGUCUCAAUCCAGGGAGUCCACAAACCCUCAGUUCAAGAAAAUGAGCGGAGACUUCCCGUCGGCCAACGGAGAGGCUGGUGGGGAGGCCCCCAAGGGCUACACUCAGGACCAGGUGGAUGCAGUGAAGAGGGUAAAGCAAUGCAAAGAUUACUAUGAAAUUCUGGGAGUAAACAGAGAAGCUUCUGAUGAGGACUUGAAAAAGGCUUACCGGAAACUUGCACUGAAGUUUCACCCAGAUAAGAACCAUGCACCGGGGGCUACAGAGGCAUUUAAAGCCAUUGGUAACGCGUACGCGGUAUUGAGCAACCCAGAGAAGAGGAAGCAAUAUGACCAGUUUGGAGACGAGAAACUCAACCCUGCUCGGCACGGACACAGUCACUCGGACUUCCACCGCGGGUUUGAGGCAGACAUCUCCCCCGAGGACCUCUUCAACAUGUUUUUUGGUGGUGGUUUUCCUUCUAGUAACGUUCACGUAUACAGCAAUGGCAGGAUGCGAUAUACCUACCAUCAGAGGCAGGACAGACGAGAACAUCAGGGUGACGGUGGCCUUGGGUUGUUUGUCCAGCUGAUGCCUAUCCUCAUCCUGAUCAUUGUGUCUGCUCUCAGCCAGAUGAUGGUCUCCAGCCCACCCUACAGUUUGAGCCAGAGGCCGUCUGUGGGUCACAUACACAGGAGAGUGACAGAGCACUUGAAAGUCAGCUACUACGUAUCUGAGAACUUUGCAGACGAAUACACGGGCACGAACCUGAAAAAUGUUGAAAGGAGCGUGGAGGACGACUAUAUUGCAAACCUUCGAAAUAACUGCUGGAAAGAGAAGCAGCAAAAGGAAGGCUUGUUGUACCGGGCACGCUACUUUGGAGACUCGGAUCUGUACCAUCGAGCACAGAAGAUGGGCACCCCCAGCUGUAGCAGACUGUCAGACGUUCAAGCCUCUCUGCACGGAUAGUCACCGCCUGCCCGCUCAGCAGAGGUCUGAGUACGAGCCGGUGAUGCUUCCCCUGGCAGCGGAGCAGGGCACGAUAGUGCUUUUCGUACUUACCUAAAUCUCUGUUUGAGACACAGAUCUUCAGGAGUCUCCUCUGGACGCACACACGUCACGGGGGGGAAGCCCCCCCCCGUCCGUCAAGCGUACACUCGUUAAUCGGGAAAUUGAUUUUGUUUAGUUUGCAUGUCGGCACCCUCGGCUCUCUCCAAGCUCGCUGUUUUCUCUGGCGCUGUCGGUGUUGGGUCUCUAGAAACAAAGCAAAAGCCCCGGGCGUGUUGGCGACUCAGCUGAGGUCUUGUCAACCACGCAUUCGAUACAGCGGCCGUGCGCGCCUCGGCUGGUCGGAAGUUUUUUACCGGCCGUGAGAGCCAGCCGCCACUUUUUAAUGAACCUUUUUUUGAUUGCUUUAUUGUCUGUUUUACUGAAAAAGCUGUUAUCCCCUGGCACUUGAAGCAAUACGAUGACAGGGAAUGGACUCCUACCAAACAGAUGUUCCCUGCCCCCCCUCCCCGUUCCCUUCCCAUGACACUCAAGGAGAACAAAGCAAAUGGCCAGAGUUCACAGCAGGCUGUAGAAGUAACUUACUGCGUUAAACUGGGAAUCAAAGUAAAACCAGCUGAGGGGGAGUCUGAAAGACUCGGGGGUUGGAGAGCUUGAAUUAAGGCGAGCCCAGAUAGCACGCGUGAGACUGGGUGUGCUGGGUCACGGGAGAACUGCACGAUAAUAAUGAAAAAAAUGGUCACGGAGUUUGGAGUCCUUUUUCUGCUCUAAUUACCUGGGCUGAUUUCACCUACCAGACACUGCUGGGAUGGCUGUAAAACGUACCGGUCCCUCCAACCACAAAAUUCUUUGAAAACAGGGUUUCUAUAGAAAAUAAAUCGGAGGUGAAGCUUGCACCAAGUGUUAGUUGUACGGACACCAUUUAGGCUUGCAAAGAGUUCUUGGGGACGUUGGACAUCUCGCUGCUUGAUUUGUAGACACAAACUCUUGAAAUGCCUGAAGACUUUUGGUGAAGUGCACUGAGCCGAGGUGACAGACUUGAUAUUUAAAAGAAUCAAACCUUAUCUUAAAAAUGGAAUUGGAGAAUUAGCGACGCACAACUGCCCUCUUUCUUCUCUCUGCCUGUCUCCGCCGUUCGACCUGCGUCUCGGGCAGCGAUUAGGACAGGAAAUCAAGCUGCCCGUCUUCCUCCUUCCCUUCUGACACCGCUAGCGUGCGACAGUCUCCUUGCUCCUGGGAUCCCACAGCCCCGAGAACAGACGCGUAGAGUGGAAAAUAACACAAACUAACUGCAGAAGCCGUGAAGCAGAAGGAGACCCUUCGCGACGGCGCUGGUCACGGCCGACGGAGAGAGAAAUUGGACGAUUUGGUGAUAAAAGAAAACUUUAAAAAAAAAAAAAAAGGAAAUAUAAUCUAUUUAGAAUUAAUUUAUAGCUGUAUAUAUGUUGUACUUUUAAACUAUGCAGGGGUUGGAUGAUUAAAUUAUUUUGUUUUC